rnacentral:rRNA from 1 species
ACGAAGGGGGCUAGCGUUGUUCGGAUUUACUGGGCGUAAAGCGCACGUAGGCGGAUCUUUAAGUCAGGGGUGAAAUGCCGGAGCUCAACUUCGGAACUGCCUUUGAUACUGGAGAUCUUGAGUUCGGGAGAGGUGAGUGGAAUUGCGAGUGUAGAGGUGAAAUUCGUAGAUAUUCGCAGGAACACCAGUGGCGAAGGCGGCUCACUGGCCCGAUACUGACGCUGAGGUGCGAAAGCGUGGGGAGCAAACAG